CGAGAAAACGCAAAGAGAAAGAAAGAAAAAAUGAAGCGAACUCGUCGACCUAAUACUGCUGGAAACAAGCAAUUCGUAUCCGGAGGCGUUUACCGCACAAAAAUGAUAAUGUGUGUAUUCAGCCCAAUUGUGAAUCCAUUUGCAGUAGCCACUAUAAGCGGGUUAAUCGAAAGUGCAGACCGUUGUCCGACACCCGACAGCAUUCCCCCCCCCACCCUUUUCACUUAACAUCGUCAACCCCAUUUCGCCAUCAACGCCGCAUACAGAACUACUAAUUAAUUAUCUCAUUUAAUCCGCUGAACGCGUUUUCGAACAACUAAAAAAAUGGCCAGCACACGAAUAAUUAUUCGUUUGAAGCUGGACUUGCGAUUUCCCCCAACUUAAAUGGCUACUGAAAAUGCAUUCACCCGAAAUUGUAACUAAAAUUAUUAGUUUUGCGUCAGAUAGCAAUGCCCAUUCUCUCCACCGAAAGUGUCUCCGAACCGAGACGCCGGCUAUAGAUACAGGCCAAGGACCCAAAGAUCCCACCGGUGCUCCCCGUUGCUAGCGAGGGGUAUCUGGACUGGCGGAUCUCGAGGUCCUCGGCCGGGGGCGACUGAUCCACCGUUGCUGGGCACGUGGUUCGGACUCCGCCGGCUCUCAGCUACGGUUCGGUGCACUCGGGUCGCAGGAAUGGCCAUGGCUAGUUCCUGAACUAUGGUUUUUAGUAGAUUAACCAGCCAACCAGACAGCUUGACAGCCCCUGACGCUUCCGUGUAUGAUGAGACUCGAUGGGUUCCGUUGGCACAGCAACUAUUUUUUUUUUUUUUUGUAAUAUAUAUCCAUUAUAUGGAUUGCAUAUAUUAGACAAAGCAAGGCCCCUUCAGGGGGCUCUCACCCAUUCGACUAAUUAAAUCAUUUUGCAA
rnacentral:misc_RNA from 1 species